AAAGAAUGCAGUUUUAUACUAUUCAUGUUCAACGUUUGACUGUCCGUCUUAUUUGAAAAAAUUAAUGAUUACUAUUUUUAUUAUUUUUAUUGUUAUUAGAUGAUAAAACAUAAAUAAUAUUUUAUGUGUGACUAUUUUUUAAUUUUUUUAUAUAUUUUUUAAAAAGACGGACGGUCAAACGUUGGACAAGAAAACCCAUGACUGCACUUAAA
rfam:Oryza glumipatula chromosome 2, whole genome shotgun sequence.